rnacentral:rRNA from 1 species
GACGUAGGGGGCUAGCGUUGUCCGGAAUCAUUGGGCGUAAAGCGCGCGUAGGCGGCCCGGUAAGUCCGCUGUAAAAGUCAAAGGCUCAACCUUUGAAUGUCAGUGGAUACUGCCGGGCUAGAGUCCGGAAGAGGCGAGUGGAACUCCUGGUGUAGCGGUGGAAUGCGCAGAUAUCAGGAAGAACACCGACGGCGAAGGCAGCUCGCUGGGGACGGUACUGACGCUGAGGCGCGAAAAGCGUGGGGGAGCGAACAGG